rnacentral:rRNA from 1 species
GACGAACGCUGGCGGCGUGCUUAACACAUGCAAGUCGAACGGAAAGGCCCCCACCUUGGUGGGGGUGCUCGAGUGGCGAACGGGUGAGUAACACGUGGGGGAUCUCCCCUGUAUUUGGGGAUAGGUUGGGGAAACGGGUUCUAAUACCGGAUAGGACCAUGGUUUGGUUUCUCAUGGGGGAAAAUUUAUUUUUUUGGUGAGGUAUGAGCUCGCGGCCUAUCAGCUUGUUGGUGGGGUAAUGGCCUACCAGGGCGUCGACGGGUAGCCGGCCUGAGAGGGUGGACGGCCACAUUGGGACUGAGAUACGGCCCAGACUCCUACGGGAGGCAGCAGUGGGGAAUAUUGCACAAUGGGCGCAAGCCUGAGGCAGCGACGCCGCGUGGGGGAUGACGGCCUUCGGGUUGUAAACUCCUUUCGUUAGGGACGAAGCCACACCUUUUUUGGGUGUGGUGACGGUACCUUUGUUAAGAAGCACCGGCUAACUACGUG